GAUGAACGCUAGCGAUAGGCUUAACACAUGCAAGUCGAGGGGCAGCAUGGUCUUAGCUUGCUAAGGCUGAUGGCGACCGGCGCACGGGUGCGUAACGCGUAUGCAACUUGCCUCACAGAGGGGGAUAACCCGUCGAAAGACGGACUAAUACCGCGUACACUCUAUGUUGGGCAUCCAAUGUAGAGGAAAUGAAAUUCGCUGUGAGAUAGGCAUGCGUCCCAUUAGCUAGUUGGUGAGGUAACGGCUCACCAAGGCGACGAUGGGUAGGGGAACUGAGAGGUUGAACCCCCACACUGGUACUGAGACACGGACCAGACUCCUACGGGAGGCAGCAGUGAGGAAUAUUGGUCAAUGGGCGAGAGCCUGAACCAGCCAAGUCGCGUGAAGGAUGACUGUCUUAUGGAUUGUAAACUUCUUUUAGACGGGAAUAACAAGAGUCACGUGUGGCUCCCUGCAUGUACCGUAUGAAUAAGCAUCGGCUAACUCCGUG
rnacentral:rRNA from 1 species